AACGAACGCUGGCGGCAUGCCUAACACAUGCAAGUCGAACGAGGCCCUCUGGUCUCUUGGCUCACUCGUUCGUAACGCGGGAGAACCGGCUCUUACGUUCUGAAUAACCCCUCGAGAGGGGUGCUAAAACCGGAUAAUGUCGCCGGACCAACGUUUUAUCGCCUUUGGAUGGGCCCGCGUUGUAUAAGCUAGUUGGUAGGGUAAAAGCCUUCCAAGGCGACGAUCCAUAGCUGGUCUGAGAGGAUGAUCCGCAACACUGGGACUGAGACAAGGCCCAGACUCCUACGGGAGGAAGCAGGGGGGAAUAUUGGACGAUGGGCGAGAGACUGAUCCAGCAAUGCCGUGUGAGUGAUGAAGGCCUGAGGGUUGUAAAGCUCUUUUACCCGGGAUGAUAAUGACAGUACCGGGAUAAUAAGCCACGGCUAACUCCGUG
rnacentral:rRNA from 1 species